GUUCGAUUCAUUUUUUUUUUCUGUUUUACUCUUUUUUUUUUUAUUUCUAGCUUUUUCCCCUGCCGUUCUUUGUUCUCUACAUUCAUGCG
rnacentral:ribozyme from 1 species